ACUAACUGCUCUGCUGUGGACCAGGCCCUGCAUAGAGCAGUCGCCAGUGUCUGUGAAACAAAGUCGAUGACUUCAGUCCAUUUAGUGCAGUGUUUCUCAGGCCUGACUAUGUGUUAGCGUCUCCUGGACAGGCAACGAAGCCAUCGGGGCCAUCCCUCCGCCCCUGCUCACAAAGGUUCUGAUACAGUUGGUUUGGGGGUGGAGCUUCCUGACAGGCAGCCCUGCCGAGCGCAGGGGCCAUCCCUGCCAGGACCAUCUGUCCAGAGUGAGGUCAGUCAGCAUCUGCGGUACUGAAAGCCCGCACAGCUUGGGGGAAGAGAACAAGCAUCCUGACUACCAAGCUAAGGGGAAUCUUCUGACCUCCAAGAGCUUCGGGGAUAAAGCAAUUACAAGUACAGGAGAAAUGAGAGGCGUUCAGAGUGAGAUCCUGGUGACAAUCUGGUUCCAAAUCCCCUUCCCUGAAGACUGUCAGCUGGAGACUGUGAGUAAGUAGAUGCAGAGUAAAUACCUCCCAGCUGUGACAGUUUUGGAAGUAUUCAUGGAUGUCUCUUCAAGCUGAUUGGUCCUUUCCACAGCUGAGGCUGGCUUGCUGAUGAGCCCAUCAAAGGCCUUCUUCACUUCUGUCAUGGGGCUUUUGAUUUCCAUAUUUCCUUUUGAUUCUUUCUUAAAGUUUCCACUUCUCUGCUAUAUCAGAGUUAUUUUUGGAUGUUGGGUCUGGUCGUCUCUGUCACCUCUGAGUCUGGUCCUGUGUUGGCCUUGUGUCUUCAGACAGGGCAUGUUGUAUUUUGCCCUGCCUUAAUUUCUUCGGAGAAAGCUGGGCUACUGAAAGGCACUGAAGCAUCCAGGCCUUCGGUGUGAGGUUGGAGGAGGAUGUUAUCUGCUAUCCUGUUCUGCUCCCUCCACUGCAGUCCUUUAAGACAGGGUCUUUUCGGGAGCUCGGAGCCAGGCUGGUGACCGCCAAACCCUCCUUUGUCGGCUUGGCUUCCUCCAGCACUGGAACCACAGGUAUGCGCGGCUGUGCCCCACUAUUGCAGGGGAUUUGAAACCAGUUCUUCAGGCUUCUUCAGCAAGUGCUGUUAUCGGAUGAGCCGUCUCUUUAGCCCCAUAAUCCAUGGGUGAUUUAAAGUAGAUGAGAGUAGGUUGAGCAAGUUGGUUCAGAGGACAAAGGAGCCUGUCCCCAAGCCUGAGCACCCAAGUUUGAUUCCCAAGACCCACUUGGUAGAAGGAAAACACUGACUUCCCUAAGUUGUCCUCUGCCAUCCCCACACUUUCUGUGGUACAUUCUCAUCCACCCACCCAAAUACCCAAAGUAAAUAAAACAAAAGUGAAGUAUAUGAGAGAAUGUGCCUAGAAAAUAUGCAAAUAUUACAUAUGCCAUUUGCAUAAGAGAGUUGAGCAUCUGUGAAUUUGGGGAUCCAUUGGUGUCCUGGAGCCAAUUCCCCACCCCCACUCUAUUGCUGUACACAUGCAAUGUAGCACCACCUCCCCCUUGCACUUCUCCUGCUUCCCUUAGCGGGGCCUGGUGCCUGGUGAAGCCACCCCAGCCCUCAGAUCUCAGCUUCAAGGCUGCUAAGGUGGCUGUGACAACGCACCGGGCACCUUUGCACUCGGCGUGCUUUCUCCCGUCUCGGUGGCACUGCGCAUGGAGUGGCUUGGCAGCCACGGGGGUGAAAAAAAAAAUGAAGCUAAUCUUUAACUUUUUCUCCUCCCCUUCUCAAAUGUGCGAGACAAUGAGAACAGACUGUGACCUCUUUGUGAAAACAGAGUAAAACCUGAAACAACAGCACGCCCAGGUGUCACCCGUGGGAUUCUGUUGGAAUAGACCUUUGACAGAUAACUCUUCUGCCUGAAAGGCCUGAGAGGACAACUGUCAUCUGAGCAGCUAUCCUUGGAGUGACUUAAUGGACAGUCACAACCGAAGUCCACCUGUUCCUCCAUGGACACCUUAGAAGACUCCAGGUGCAAAGAAUUUUGCAGCCAAAGCUGCAAGUCCUGCUUCAGGAGGUCUUGCAACAGUCAUGACUACUCCAGACAGCCUAUUUCAGCCUUGGAAGGCAGCCUUCUAGGCAAGACUCCAGAGGAACCCACAGAUAUUCUCAAUCGCUCUGUUCCCUCCUUAGUAACUCAGUAAGAAGGCGGUGAUUGGUGCAAUGCAGGACUUGCAAUUGGUCCCUCUGCGGGGCCUGUGAUUGGUGGAAUUCCAAGUGUGCUAUCACGGAUGCGAGUGCAACCCUCCCUGUGCACAUCACACCCAUGCCACAAACACCUCUCUCAAUUAUGUAACCAGGCUGUUGAGUUCAUUUUCCAAGCCAGCUACAAGAUAACUCUCACGUGAUGCCCUCCAGUGGUACAUUAAGCCCUGCAAAAGGCUGCUUUUCCAGAAUGGUCUUCCCUUGCCUGCUUGAGACCUGUAUUAUGAAUAGAGUCACCUAAGCUGGAAAUACAAAGAGGAGGCGGUGGUGGAGUCAGCAAAGGAUGCAGCAGCAGCUGUAGAAGCCAUAGAAGGCUGCAGAAGGACAGAGCACCAACAGAGAGCAGACAGGAUUGAGAUGAUGGAAAAAGGUGGGAAGAGGCAUGAAGCCAAAGCUGUUAAAGGCUCUGAAGAGCUACAGAUUAGAAGCUGUAGGUUCAAGCCCACUUAAGGGUUUCAGGGAGCUGCCAAAACCUAAGAACCAACGGUCAAGAUACCCAAGAUUUGGGAAUUGUAAUGGCUUCACUUUUAGGAGCUAAGAGUCUUUACAUGCAGCAUACCUUCUGAGGCUACAAAGAGGUAUGAUUGAUAGUUACCAGGGACAGGGUCACUGAGAGUUAAGGUCCAGGACCGAAUCAUCAACACCUGAAAGAGCACCAAGAACAGUUAAUCUCUCUGCCUCAUAUUGUCCAGUUCAGGACCCAGAGCCACAAGCCUCUGGUCCAUUAGUCCAGUCCAUGUAUGGGACCUUAGCCCAGAACCACCGACUGAUUCAACCAGGCUUUGCCUACUUGCAAUUCCCACCUUGAUAGUACAACAGAUUCCACAGCCAGAUGAUUGGUCAAACUGGAGUCAUCUUUUCUAAGGCUGGCCUGGAGAUAUGGCUCAGUAGUAGAGAGCUUGUUUAACAUACAGAGCUCUGAGUUUGAUCCCUAGCAUGGCACAACUAGAGUGUGGUGGGCCACUCCUGUGAGCCCAGCACCUUGGAAGAGCAGAAAGAUCAUGAGUUCAAGGCCAUUGUAGAUUCGCAGGGAUUUCAACGCUAUCCUGACAUAUAUGAGACUCUGUCUAAAAGAAAGAAAGUACAUGUGAUCAUCCCUAAACUGGUCAGCCAUGAUGUUUUCUUAAUAAGAAGAAAGUCACCAUUGACAUUUACUGAGUGUUUGCUACCUGCCAGGUAGUGAUUCGUACACUGUCCACAUAUUAAUAAAGUUUAUACCAUAA